ensembl:lncRNA
CUGUCAGGAGCUUUAUAGGAUGCGGCAGGGAAAGGGUUAACCCCUGUGGCCAUCAACACAGCUGCAAGUUAUAAAAGACCAGGGGAAAAGAAAGGAGAAAAAAAUAAAUAGAUGGAAAGAGGGGGAGGAGGAGAAGUUUGCUUGGGACAGAGAGGAUAAUCUGGAAGAAGAGUCUCCCAGACUUGUUAAGCUGACUCAUUUGAACUUCUUCACAGACGUUUGGCAGACUAAAUGAGGAUGGAUCUUUCUUGUGCUUCUUCAAGAUUUUGCAGUGCUUCCUUCCUGCAUAAGAAAGUGUGGCAGAGUUGGAAACUGAGAAUAGUGUUACUCAAUACUGUCUGCAAAGGAG